rnacentral:rRNA from 1 species
GACGAACGCUGGCGGCGUGCUUAACACAUGCAAGUCGAACGGAAAGGCCCUGCUUUUGUGGGGUGCUCGAGUGGCGAACGGGUGAGUAACACGUGAGUAACCUGCCCUUGACUUUGGGAUAACUUCAGGAAACUGGUGCUAAUACCGGAUAGGAGCUCCUGCUGCAUGGUGGGGGUUGGAAAGUUUCGGCGGUUGGGGAUGGACUCGCGGCUUAUCAGCUUGUUGGUGGGGUAGUGGCUUACCAAGGCUUUUACGGGUAGCCGGCCUGAGAGGGUGACCGGCCACAUUGGGACUGAGAUACGGCGCAGACUCCAACGGGAGGCAGCAGUGGGGAAUAUUGCACAAUGGGCGGAAGCCUGAUGCAGCAACGCCGCGUGCGGGAUGACGGCCUACGGGUUGUAAACCGCUUGCGCCUGUGACGAAGGGUGAGUGACGGUAAUGGGUAAAGAAGCACCGGCUAACUACGUG